rnacentral:rRNA from 1 species
UACGAAGGGGGCUAGCGUUGCUCGGAAUUACUGGGCGUAAAGCGCACGUAGGCGGUCUUUUAAGUCGGGGGUGAAAUCCUGGAGCUCAACUCCAGAACUGCCUUCGAUACUGGAAGACUUGAGUCCGGGAGAGGUGAGUGGAACUGCGAGUGUAGAGGUGAAAUUCGUAGAUAUUCGCAAGAACACCAGUGGCGAAGGCGGACUCACUGGCCCGGUACUGACGCUGAGGUGCGAAAGCG